rnacentral:tRNA from 1 species
GUCAGGAUGGCCGAGCGGUCUAAGGCGCUGCGUUCAGGUCGCGUCGGUCUUCCGGGCGUGGGUUCGAAUCCCACUUCUGACA